CCACGGCCCUCCUCCUGGCAGCCCAGCAACAAGCGGCCACCGCCCCCACCCCGGGGCGGGCAGGUGAGUCCCCCCCCGACCCGCCCCCAGCCCAGAGGGCCGCCCUGCGCUCUCGCCCCCGGCCCCUGGCCGCGCGUGCCCCAGGUCCCCCAGUAGCGCCCCAGCGCCGCUGCUGCUCAGACACACCGAAAUAGGAAUGAUUUAAUCCAACGACACCUCCCAGGGCUGCCCAGUCCCGGUUCCGCCGGCUCCUGAGAUUGGGGAGGGGCAGAAUUGGGUGGAACUCGGGCUGGGGGGCGGAAAUGGCCCGAGUGGGAGGGAAGGCGCGGAGUCGGACGCUACCUUGUAACCGAGUUAGAUUUCUGCAGAAGAGGAGGACGAAGGUCGCCCACGGACCCUCGGGUGACCUCGGUGCGGCCUGGUGGCCGGGCACACCCGCGCAUGGACGAGGUCCCUCCCAGGGGUCUCCCUGCAGGGGUCUCCGGGGAGGUAGUGGGCACGUGGGUCCUUAACCUCUCCAUUGCAUCAUCCCCAUCCCGGUGGGUACAGAAGCGCAGCAACCCCGCGGUGCUCCCGGAAGACACCGCGUCUCCAACAUUUACACGGAGAUGCUGCUCGGCUCAGGUCGGGUCCGUACGCUUCCCGAGGUGCGUACUACGCGAGCCACACACAUCACUACCGAUAUUCCUGAGAAAGUCGGUGCCACAGGCCGGUGACGCGCUGUGCCCGUGAAUACGCCCAUUGUGCGGGUCAGACGCAGCCAGGGCGCAGCGUUCAGGAGGCGGGUGGGCAGCCGAACUUUCACUGGCCACGAGCGCUUCACCUUCUAGAAUUUGCCAGGGACUAGGCAUCAACUCCCAGUGAGAAAAUCACAUGUGAAGUUGGAAGACACAUGCUGCCCUUCACUUUUCUACGGAGUUCACAUCAGUUUCAGCAAUCCGCGUUCUCAGUUCGCUUUGCCCGGGCGAGUGGGUUCCAUCAUCACCUGAACCAAAAACGCACCAGGGCGCGCGUGCCCAGGCACCAAGGCCAGAGAAACCGCACGUUUCGAGUCCCCAGUUGCUGAGAAACAAUCACAGCCCUCCUCUUUUCUCCCCCUUCUGCAGGUUCCGACCUGAAUCUGAAAGUGCUUCUAAACCCCAUGCUUCACAGAACGUUCGGAGGGGGAGGCGCUCCGUGGGGGCUGCUGCGUGCCCAUGUAGCCGAACUGACUCGAAUAAAAGCGUGUCCACGUCUACAUCACACAUCUGUGUAAAUGCAGAAGCCUGCGGAUGCGCGGGGCUGGCCAGACUUCACAGUGUGCAGACACAUGGGCUCAUGCACGCGCACGCGCGCGCUCACACACACACCCCAAAUUACCUCCGGGAUGGAGAAAGCCGCUGCGGAUUGGCCAGCAGAGCCGUCACUCACGCCCAGGGGGCAGGGAGACUUCGCAAAGCUGUUUCCUUUUUUUUUUUUCCUCCUCUCCUCCCUACCGUUUCAUUUAAUGGUAAAACAACAGCAGAGCUCUGAAAGUUAGCCAUCUGCGCAGAGUUUGCCUUCUUUAAGGAGGGAGGCGUCAGACGAUAUCCAUUUAAAUAUAUUUUGUACUUCCACAAAGGAUGGAAAGGGAAAUUCACGAAGGGAGUGGAGGCGGAAAGGGAGCUCCGAGAAAGAAGGAGGGGUCAUUCCGCGGGGGGCGGGGGGGGGGGCGGGGGCCGACGCAGGGGAAAGAGUUGCUCUCUACACCGAAAAGGGACUUUGACCUUCCAUUGAUCUCGAAAUUCAAAAACGUUUCUUCACAGGUCAGAUUGUAACAAACACUCGUUCCUAAUUUAUGAACUCGCCGUUUUGAUUUUAUUAUUUAAGCAUGCGCCAGCAAUCGUGUUUCCUUAAGAAAGAACUGACCUAUUUUUGGCUGGAGAUAAACGAUCAUGUUAACAGAUGUUAAUCUUGUAAUCUGUUUUUCCUGUAAGCACUUUACCUAGCCGGGUUUCAGACCUUAAAAAUAACAUCUUUUCCAAAAAGACCUGACGUCACAAUUCACUCCCUGAAAAAUCACACUCCCCCUCCAGUUUCUUCCCCUGCAAUGAUUUCAAAGACAUUAAAUCUUUUCCACUUUAUAAAUGCUGAUCUGUUCUGCCUCUACUCCCACAGGCUCUUAUUUGCAUUUCAAAUUCCACAGGUUACACCAGUCGCCUUUUCAAAAAAUGUAAACCAACAAUGCAGCAGCAAAUGGCUUUUUGUGCAUCUGGAUUAAAUAAAGCACAGAAUGAAUAUAUUUAAAAAGAGGGCUGCGCAAGU
rnacentral:lncRNA from 1 species